rnacentral:rRNA from 1 species
CUACGGGAUGCAGCAGUCAAGAAUAUUCCGCAAUGGACGAAAGUCUGACGGAGCGACGCCGCGUGCAGGAUGAAGGCCUUCGGGUUGUAAACUGCUUUUAUAAGGGACGAACAAAUGACGGUACCUUAUGAAUAAGAGGUUGCUAACUCUGUGCCAGCAGCAGCGGUAAUACAGAGACCUCAAGCGUUAUCCGGAUUUAUUGGGCGUAAAGGGUCCGCAGGCGGCCCUAUAAGUCAUAUGUCAAAUCUUCGGGCUCAACCCGGAAACCGCGUAUGAUACUGUAGGGCUAGAGACUGGGAGAGGCACACGGAAUUGUCGGUGUAGGGGUAAAAUCCGUUAAUAUCGACAAGAACACCAAAGGCGAAGGCAGUGUGCUGGAACAGUUCUGACGCUCAGGGACGAAAGCGUGGGUAGCGAAUGGGAUUAGAUACCCCGGUAGUC